GGAGUGCAAACAAAUGGAGAAGGGAGGCUACUACUAUGAAUUCUUCCAUAAUACUAGAUCGGUUAAGCCCACUAUACUUCAUUUUCAGGAACAAGGAUGCACUUGACGUGUUGAAGUGGUUGCACGAAAUUUAUGAUGGCAUGACAGAGGAAAUCCUCAUCAUGUCAUGAGAAUGAGAAUUGCAUUCAGAAUAGCAUGUAGAGGGCAUUAACUGGGAUCGACCUUCUCUCUCAGAACUUUGGGUUACAAUUACCUGCAUUUGAGUCCUUUGUUUGGCCUCGCUUUUCCGGCACCUUGCACAAGAUAAUCAAAGUUGGUUCAAGGGAAUGCCAAAUUUGUUGUGGUGCGUAAAUGGAGAAUACAGAGGUGAAGUGACACGAGAAUGUCCUAAAAUGGUUGUCAUACUGAUGUUGGGCUAUGUGAGUUCGAGUUGGCAAUGCAAAUGAGUGCAAUGCAAUUCUUUAAUGGUGCUUAAUAUCAGCUCAUGAGGAAAGCGGCAAAGCCCAAACCAAAAAAAGACUCGUCCGAGGAUUCAAGGGCAGACUACCGUGGGACAGUCCAUAAAACCAGCCUGUAAGCAGUUCAUUCCAGCAUUAGCUAGGCUGCUGAGCAGUGGGCAGCAUGUGUGAUCUAUUUUCAAAGCCGGCUAUCCUUGCUUUUAAUUCAAAAUAAAAUAAUUUAUCAUGAGAUCUGUUAUCUUCUUGGGGAAAAAAACAAAAAAAUUUUUCUUAAAUGCAAAGCUGUCAAGUAAUGCUUCUUGUCUAUCUCUAAAAAUAACACAGCACAAUAAUUAAAACA